rnacentral:lncRNA from 10 species
CAUCCAUUAAUUACCUCACUUCCUGGUCAGGGAACCAAGAAAUGUAGCAGGACAAGCCACAGACAAAACCCCUCAGACACCGAGUUAAAGAAGGAAGGGCUGUAUUCAGCCGGGAGCUUUGGCAAGACUCACAUCUCCAAAAACCAAGCACUCCAAGAUGAAGACAUUGAAGGCUGUGAAAGUCAAAGGAGGCUCGGCGCAGUGGCUCAUGCCUAUAAUCCCAGCACUUUGGGAGGCCUAGGUGGGCAGAUGACCUGAGGUUGGGAGUUCAAGACCAGCCUGACCAACAUGAAGAAACCCCGUCUCUAGUAAAAUACAAAAUUAGUUGGGCGUGGUGACAUUUGCCUGUAGUCCCAGCUACUCAGGACGCUGAGGCAGGAGAACCACUUGAACCUGGGAGGCAGAGGUUGUGGUGAGCCAACAUCAUGCCAUUGCACUCCAGCCUGGGCAACAGGAGUGAAACUCUGUCCCCCCACCAAAAAAAAGUAAACAAAACACAUGAAAUUGUAAUCAAAAUAGUCAUUCUUACCUACCAUGGAAAUGUAAACUAUGUGCCCUGCUUGUCAAUUUGUUCUGCUAAUUAUGCAAUGCCCUUCUUGGAUCCUGGAAUAAAAUGGCAUUGUUCUCAAUAUUACUGGCAUGCAC